GAUGAACGCUGGCGGCGUGCCUAAUACAUGCAAGUCGAGCGAACGGACGAGAAGCUUGCUUCUCUGAUGUUAGCGGCGGACGGGUGAGUAACUCGUGGAUAACCUACCUAUAAGACUGGGAUAACUUCGGGAAACCGUAGCUAAUACCGGAUAAUAUUUUGAACCGCAUGGUUCAAAAGUGAAAGACGGUCUUGCUGUCACUUAUAGAUGGAUCCGCGCUGCAUUAGCUAGUUGGUAAGGUAACGGCUUACCAAGGCAACGAUGCAUAGCCGACCUGAGAGGGUGAUCGGCCACACUGGAACUGAGACACGGUCCAGACUCCUACGGGAGGCAGCAGUAGGGAAUCUUCCGCAAUGGGCGAAAGCCUGACGGAGCAACGCCGCGUGAGUGAUGAAGGUCUUCGGAUCGUAAAACUCUGUUAUUAGGGAAGAACAUAUGUGUAAGUAACUGUGCACAUCUUGACGGUACCUAAUCAGAAAGCCACGGCUAACUACGUG
rnacentral:rRNA from 1 species